rnacentral:rRNA from 1 species
AUGCAGUCGACGGGCUCUUCGGAGCAAGUGGCGGACGGGUGAGUAACGCGUGAGAAUGUGCCUUGAGGAUGGGGAUAACAAUAGGAAACUAAUGCUAAGACCCAAUGUGCCUUAAGUGGUGAAAAAUGAAAAUUGCCUGAAGAGGAGCUCGCGUCUGAUUAGCUAGUUGGGGUGGUAAAAGCGCACCAAGGCGACGAUCAGUAGCUGGUCUGAGAGGAUGAGCAGCCACACUGGGACUGAGACACGGCCCAGACUCCUACGGGAGGCAGCAGUGGGGAAUUUUCCGCAAUGGGCGAAAGCCUGACGGAGCAAUACCGCGUGAGGGAGGAAGGCUCUUGGGUUGUAAACCUCAAAACUUAGGGAAGAAAAAAAUGACGGUACCUAAUUUAAGCAUCGGCUAACUCCGUG